AAGACUAGCCAAUUAUUCACGAGAGACAAUGCCACGUGAAGAAAGCAAAGAUUCCUGAAGAUUGAAACUUGUCGGCACUCUCUCGCACUUUUCUAUAUUAUUAGAAGGACACGCGUAUACCCUAGUAGGACACGUGUGCAUGCUACCGUGGGUAAAAUAAGUGAAGGAAGGCUCCCGAAGGCCACCUUGCAGCCACCCCUCGCGGCUAUAAAAGGAGACGCUGGGCUCAAGAAGAAAACAACACAAGAGACGGGAGAGCACGGAGCAUUCAAAGCAUCGAGACUCUCCACCAGAGCACCACUUCCUUCGUAGUCUAGCCACCACCACUACUAGUAGAAUAGCCAAGAAGGCGCUUAGUUCACCAAGAGUUUGAAGCCUUGGCAUGUAUGUACGCAUACACUGACACGAGGAAUCUUCAAGGCUGAAGAAGCUCUGAAGGCUAAUCGCAUGAAGAUCUGUAUGGCCGAAGAGCGAAGACUGGUACACAAAGACUAGCCAAUUAUUCACCGAGAGACAAUGCCACGUGAAAAAAGCAAAGAUUCCUGAAGAUUGAAACUUGUCGGCACUCUCUUGCACUUUUCUAUAUUAUUAAAAGGACACGCGUAUACCCUAGUAGGACAUGUGUGCAUGCUACCGUGGGUAAAAUAAGUGAAGGAAGGCUCCCGAAGGCCACCUUGCAGCCACCCCUCGCGGCUAUAAAAGGAGAGCUGGGCUCAAGAAGAGAACACAAGAGACGGGAGAGCACGGAGCACUCAAAGCAUCGAGACUCUCCACCAGAGCACCACUUCCUUCGUAGUCUAGCCACCACCACUACUAGUAGAAUAGCCAAGAAGGCGCUUAGUUCGCCAAGAGUUUGAAGGCUGAAGAAGCUCUCAAGGCUAAUCGCAUGAAGAUCUGUGUGGCCGAAGAGCAAAGACUGGUACACAAAGACUAGCCAAUUAUUCACCGAGAGACAAUAUCACGUGAAGAAAGCGAAGAUUCCUGAAGAUUCAAACUUGUCGGCACUCUCUCGCACUUUUCUAUAUUAUUAGAAGGACACGCGUAUACCCUAGUAGGACACGUGUGCAUGCUACCAUGGGUAAAAUAAGUGAAGGAAGGCUCCCGAAGGCCACCUUGCAGCCACCCCUCACGGCUAUAAAAGGAGACGCUGGGCUCAAGAAGAAAACAACACAAGAGACAGGAGAGCACAGAGCAUUCAAAGCAUCGAGACUCUCCACCAGAGCACCACUUCCUUCGUAGUCUAGCCACCACCACACUAGUAGAAUAGCCAAGAAGGCGCUUAGUUCGCCAAGAGUUUGAAGAUCUGUAUCGCAUGAAGAUCUGUAUGGCCGAAGAGCGAAGACUGGUACACAAAGACUAGCCAAUUAUUCACCGAGAGACAAUGCCACGUGAAGAAAGCAAAGAUUCCUGAAGAUUGAAACUUGUCGGCACUUUCUCGCACUUUUCUAUAUUAUUAGAAGGACACGCGUAUACCCUAGUAGGACACGUGUGCAUGCUACCGUGGGUAAAAUAAGUGAAGGAAGGCUCCCGAAGGCCACCUUGCAGCCACCCCUCGCGGCUAUAAAAGGAGACGCUGGGCUCAAGAAGAAAAUAACACAAGAGACGGGAGAGCACGGAGCACUCAAAGCAUCGAGACUCUCCACCAGAGCACCACUUCCUUCGUAGUCUAGCCACCACCACUACUAGUAGAAUAGCCAAGAAGGCGCUUAGUUCGCCAAGAGUUUGAAGGUAAUUUCCUAGUUGUGUGUAAUCCCUUCGGGGCCUCCCGAAAGGGAAAACCAUAUGUAAAUUAUGUUGUUGAAAUGAUGUAGUUUCUUGGUUUCACUUAGUGCUUUUAUUUAUGAAUU